AUUGAACGCUGGCGGCAGGCCUAACACAUGCAAGUCGAGCGAGCGGCGGACGGGUGAGUAAUGUAUGGGGACUGCCCGAUAGAGGGGGAUAACUACUGGAAACGGUGGCUAAUACCGCAUACUAUCGGAUAACCCAUAUGGGAUUAGCUAGUAGGUGGGGUAAAGGCUCACCUAGGCGACGAUCUCUAGCUGGUCUGAGAGGAUGAUCAGCCACGCUAGGACAAAGACACGGCCCAGACUCCUGCGGAGGCGGCAGUGGUGAAUAUUGCGAAGUGGACGCAAGCCUGAUGCGGCCAUGCCGCGUGUAUGAAGAGGGCCUUAGGGUUGUAAAGUACUUUCAGCGGAGAGACAUUACCCGCAGAAGAAGCACCAGCUAACUCCGUGCCAGCAGCCGCGAUAAUUC
rnacentral:rRNA from 1 species